CCUCAGGUCAGGCGGGACCACCCGCUGA
rnacentral:rRNA from 1 species